CCCAGGGCAUGCCCUGGGCUGGCAUCGGUCGCCCCUUCAGGGCU
rnacentral:sRNA from 1 species